UGGGGGAUGGUGUAACCGGAAACAUGCCCGGCUUUGACCCGGGAGAGUGCAGGUUCGAGCCCUGCUUCCCCAG
rnacentral:tRNA from 1 species